rnacentral:rRNA from 1 species
GGCAGGCCUAACACAUGCAAGUCGAGCGCGCCUUCGGGUGAGCGGCGGACGGGUUAGUAACGCGUGGGAACGUGCCCUUUUCUACGGAAUAGCCUCUGGAAACGGAGAGUAAUACCGUAUACGCCCUUUGGGGGAAAGAUUUAUCGGAGAAGGAUCGGCCCGCGUUAGAUUAGGUAGUUGGUGGGGUAACGGCCUACCAAGCCUACGAUCUAUAGCUGGUUUUAGAGGAUGAUCAGCAACACUGGGACUGAGACACGGCCCAGACUCCUACGGGAGGCAGCAGUGGGGAAUCUUAGACAAUGGGGGCAACCCUGAUCUAGCCAUGCCGCGUGAGUGAUGAAGGCCUUAGGGUCGUAAAGCUCUUUCGCCUGUGAUGAUAAUGACAGUAGCAGGUAAAGAAACCCCGGCUAACUCCGUGCCAGCAGCCGCGGUAAUACGGAGGGGGUUAGCGUUGUUCGGAAUUACUGGGCGUAAAGCGCGCGUAGGCGGAUUAGAAAGUUGGGGGUGAAAUCCCGGGGCUCAACCCCGGAACUGCCUCCAAAACUGCUAGUCUAGAGUUCGAGAGAGGUGAGUGGAAUUCCGAGUGUAGAGGUGAAAUUCGUAGAUAUUCGGAGGAACACCAGUGGCGAAGGCGGCUCACUGGCUCGAUACUGACGCUGAGGUGCGAAAGUGUGGGGAGCAAACAGGAUUAGAUACCCUGGUAGUCCACACCGUAAACGAUGAAUGCCAGUCGUCGGGUAGUAUACUAUUCGGUGACACACCUAACGGAUUAAGCAUUCCGCCUGGGGAGUACGGUCGC